AUUGAACGCUGGCGGCGUGCUUAACACAUGCAAGUCGUGCGGUAACAGGCGUAGCAAUACGUGCUGACGAGCGGCGAACGGGUGCGUAAUACAUGGGAAUCUGCCUUUUAGUGGGGAAUAACCCGGCGAAAGCCGGGCUAAUGCCGCAUAAGAUCUUCGGAUGAAAGCGGGGGAUCGUAAGACCUCGCGCUGAUAGAUGAGCCCAUGCCGGAUUAGCUAGUUGGUGAGGUAACGGCUCACCAAGGCGACGAUCCGUAGCUGGUCUGAGAGGACGGCCAGCCACACUGGGACUGAGACACGGCCCAGACUCCUACGGGAGGCAGCAGUGGGAAUUUUUCGCAAUGGGGGCAACCCUGACGAAGCAACGCCGCGUGGGGGAUGAAGGUCUUCGGAUUGU
rnacentral:rRNA from 1 species